rnacentral:rRNA from 1 species
UACAGAGGUCCCGAGCGUUGUUCGGAUUCAUUGGGCGUAAAGGGUGCGUAGGCGGCGAGGUAAGUCUGAUGUGAAAUCCCGGGGCUCAACCCCGGAACUGCAUUGGAUACUGCCUUGCUAGAGUACUGGAGAGGGAACUGGAAUUACGGUGUAGCAGUGAAAAUGCGUAGAGAUCGAUAAGGAAGGCCAGUGGCGAAGGCGAGUUCCUGGACAGUCACUGACGCUGGAGGCACGAAAGGCCCAGGGGAGGCAAA